GUCCGCCUUUAGCGAUGGUUUGGGAACCCGGGCGCUGGAAAGGCGCGGGUGCGGAGGGCGGCUGAGCCGCGCGGCUGCGGCACCGUGGGCGCGAGACCCCUGCGGAGAGGAGCGCGCGGACGCCGGGGGAAGCGCCUCGGGGCGGCUGGAGGCGCAGCACCCUGGGGGAGCCGGGGCGCGGGAGAGACAAAACUGUUCGAACCUUCUCUCCCUUCCCCACCCCCAGCGCCCAAACCCGGGGCGGGUGAGCGCGACCCUUGCAGCGACCCCUUGCCGAGCCCUGCCCGCGCGAUUACUAAGGAGACGCGGCCUCCGGCACUGCCGUCCCCGCGCCGUUUGAAAACGGAUCCAUCAGCGGGGUAUUUGGAGAUUAUUCGCACUGAAUUUUCUGCCCGCCAAGAACGAAUAGGAUUGCCAAGCCACACCACUUUUUGGAGCCCGCUUAUUCGCGCCUAUCCACCCUCUCCUGUGCCCCAGGUUCCCUGAGCACGGGAAUCCUUUCCGGGCAUGGCCAAGUUUGUUCGGUGGCUCAGAGCGGGAAGGGAAGUGCAGUUCGACACCUGUCCAGCUGCUCCGCUUGGAGAUCAAAGGCCGGCUAUGGGCUGAGCGACAGAUUUACGGGACGGUGGUACAGAUUAAGGCGAGAACCCUGCCGGUCCUGGACUCGAGUUCGCACCCAAGGAAAGCGUACAGGUCCCUGGAAGCGGGUGGAUGUCGGAGAGGCCGAGGCAGCCUGCGCUGUGGCCAGGCAGGCUUGGUGGGCUUUAGUCUCAGUAUGUGUUCUUUAAAGUCUUGACAGGUUAUUAGUAAAGGAAGGGGCACCCCAGGGUCAUGAAGAUGCUUCUCGCUCUGGCCCAAGCAUGCUGAGGCUCGCUUAUUCCUCGGCCAGGCCCAGUAAAACAGCUCAAGCACAGCCUGGAGUCUUCCCGCAUCUGCGCGGGAGUAGAGUCUGGCUUUGGGCCCCGCGUACCCCGCAGUCGUCGGGGACCAGUUCGAGGCCACGGGAAGGGUUUCCGCGGCAGGGCGCGGAGUAAAGAGGGGAAGAAGGAAUCCUCUCCGCGUGAUCAGUAGGGCGGGCUUGUGAUACUCUCACACCCAGGUUCCAGCUCAGCCCCCAAACUGCUGCCCCAAGAAAACAAGUUGGGGAGUGUGGAUUUAGACAUAACAACGGGUGUGAGCUGAUGUCCUUACAACCAAAAAUAUUGAGACUAGAAAUUCAGCUCCGAAUCCACGACCCUCAGAUUGAUGCUUAAUCGCACCCUCGACUCCAGAAAAGCUGCCGGGGACAGACAUGGACAGGUUUUGCCAAGGGUUCAUUAAAAUAGUCUGCACUGGAAUAACCGGGGUGCAAGAGAUCACGUCUUCACUCAGGGCUUUGGGGAUCCCCUCGUCGCCCCAGGUCAGUGGGUGGGGAGGAGGGCAAACUUCUGUCUUUUGUUUGUGGGUGAGGGAUGCGAAUUGUGGCAGCAGCCGAGAAAAGGGGGGAAAUUAAUUGCAGCCAAUUAAUAAUUAAUCCCCUUUAAACAGCUUUAUUAUCUCUUCUGGGCGACAGAGAUUUGUCUGAUAACCCCCUGAAGACCAAAUGUCAAGUUUAACCAAAUAGUUAUUGCUUUAUCAACCCGAGUCUGCAAAUAAAUUAAUCAAAAG
rnacentral:lncRNA from 1 species